rnacentral:rRNA from 1 species
UACGUAGGGGGCAAGCGUUGUCCGGAAUCAUUGGGCGUAAAGAGCGUGUAGGCGGUCCGGUAAGUCGGCUGUGAAAGUCCAGGGCUCAACCCUGGGAUGCCGGUCGAUACUGCCGGACUAGAGUUCGGAAGAGGCGAGUGGAAUUCCCGGUGUAGCGGUGAAAUGCGCAGAUAUCGGGAGGAACACCUAUGGCGAAGGCAGCUCGCUGGGACGUUACUGACGCUGAGACGCGAAAGCUAGGGGAGCGAACAGG